GAGAGAGCUCGAUUGAAACUUCUCUGGACGAUAUUCGACUUACAUUGGUUCUUCUCUUCAUGGGCUUUUGUUCUUGACCAGAAUUAGGACCAUCGAACAACACGUUUGAUAGAUUGGGAAAUGUGAUUUUUGAAGCUUUUAAGGACGAUUCCAGCCAAUCCAACAGUCGGAUCUACGAUCCUAGACCAUCAAUUUACUCAAUGCAUCAAAAGUUUUAAGAUGGGACCAACCUCGCUGCAAUUGGACACUGUUUGGAAAAGAUGAUCAUCGAACCAUCCAGGUCACUUCGUGUGAUCAGAUCGGCUAUAGCUCACCAACAUUCGGGAUUGAGUUUUUGGGCCAAGCCGAGUGCCCAACCGGCUGUGCAGGAAGAUGAUCGUGUUUACAGUCCUUUCCACUAUUUUCGACAUUUUGGACGCAUUCCAGGUAGCAGAAU
rnacentral:misc_RNA from 1 species